CGCGCGGAGCCGACCACGUGCACGGCAUCUUGGGGCACGGGUUCCCGCCGUCUCCCCACUGUAAAGGAGCGGCUUACUCCAGAGGUCCAGCCCCCUCACACACAAUCACGGAACCCGUGGAUGAGGCAGUAUUUGAGACCAGAAGUUUAUUGGGGACUUGGGUUUGGUUUUUGUUUGGUUGGUUUUGUCGUUGUUUUUAGAGUCGGGGGUUUCGCUGUGUUGCCCAGGCUGCUAUCGGACUCCUGACCUCAAGCGAUCCUCUUGCUUGGCCUCCCAAAGUGUUGGGAUUACAGGCGUGAGCCACCGCACCUGGCCGGGGACUUGUUUCUAAUGGAAAAUUGUGUAUGUGCUGUAUUGUUAAGAGCAUUGGUUUGGGGUCAGACUAGGCUGUGAUUCGGGUCUCUCCACUUCUUAUUAUCGUCUUUGGUAAAUUAUUUAACCUCUUUGUGCCUUCGUUUUCUGUAAAAAGCAGAUAAUUAUAGCUACUUCAUGAGGUCGUGUGAAGAUUUAAUGAGAUAGUGUGUGUGAAAUGUUCACAGCUACCAGACACAUACUCACUCGUGUUCCCAAUUGCUAUACUCACAAGGGCUCACUCCCAUCGCCAUCCUUCGUAAUUUCAAAGGGUCUACGGUUAAAAAUAUUCCAAAUUGUUGGGAAACUCUCAGACCCCAGAACUUAGCUGGCUGCAUGCUCGGCCAGCCCUCAGAGACAGCAUGAUUGGAGGCAGGAGCAGGAAUUGGCAACCUGAGAAGUAGAUACCACCCAGGCACCCUCAUUCACAAGGAUCCAGAGACAGGGUUUCCCCCUGUUGCCCAGUCUGGCAUCGAUCACCUAAGCUCAAGCGAUCCACCCAUCUUGGCCUCCCAAAAUGCUAGGAUUAUAGGUGUCAGCCACUGCACCCGGCCGUAAGUUAUUUUCAAGUAGGAAAAAAAGGAGGCUGCCUGCUCCUUAACUCUUCAAGCCUACCCAUCCCUAUCAAUCAUCCCUUCAAACACAGUAAACUAUGGCUUUAAAUUCACAGCUGACCCAGGAGCCAGUGGCAUCUGAAAUUUUUUUAAAAGCCAGAGAAGAUCUAUGUUGACCUGAUGAUCUUUCACCUUCUAGAUCUCCCUGAACCACUGGCCAAAUCUUUCAAUAAAGAAUGUGCUUAACCUGCCUCUUAAGACCCAUGUAUUUGCACAAGAAGGAAAAAAAAAACCAGAAAAAAAAGCAAAACUAGAGCUGCCUGCCUGUGCUGAAGCUUUUUCAGUAAUUUCAGAGCCACUGAAGUGAUGUGAGAUCAGUUGACAAGAGAAAAACACUCUGAGAUCUGCCAGAAUGACCCUCAAGGGGAGAAAAAUAAUUAAACAGGUGGAAAAACAAGGAACACGCAAGACUGAUCAAAGCGUUUCUUUUCUGUUGAACAGCUUUUGCUGACUUCUGGUACCAUCAGUUUUCUUGAGUACAAUAAAGACCAACAAAUGCAGAAUGUUAGUUACGGGCCUUACUCAAUCAGGCUCAAAGGCUUUACUGGGGUUACAGGAAGCCAAGUACCCAGUCCACUAAUGUCCUGGGAGAAAAGCCUGAAGGCAGAGCAUGGUAGGUUUUCUCUUGCAGCCUGCAGGCUGAUCUGAUGGGACUUCAAUUCUGUCACUUCCUUGCUCUGUGACAUUGAACAUUCUGUAAGCCUCUGGGCCUCAGCUUUCUCAUCCAUGGAAGUGGGAUUACAGUGUCUAACCUGCAGGGCUGCUGUGUGUUUAUAUAUGUGCAUAGAACAUAAUGGCCUUCCCUUGAUAGAAGCAGAGAUUGGACAUGUGGCCUCUGACAAGUUACUUUUUUUUUUCUACAAGUUUCCCUCUCCUCUCCCCCAUUCAGAAAGUGGAAGGGGUAAUUCUUCAGGGAAUUUGUGAGAUGUUACCACAAGGUUACACAAUGGCUUGCUGUAAACUAUUUUAUGUCUUUUUUUUUUUUUUUUUUUUGAGACGGAGUCUUGCUCUGUCACUCAGGCUGGAGUGCAGUGGUGCGAUCUCGAUCUCAGCUCACUGCAACCUCCAACUCCCAGGCUCAAGCGAUUCUCAUGCCUCAGCAUCCUGAGUAGCUGGGACUACAGGUGCACACCACCACGCCCCAGUAAAUUUUUUGUAUUUUCAGUAGAGACAGGGUUUCGCUAUGUUGGCCAGGCUCGUCUCGAACUCCUGGCCUCAAAUGAUCCACCAGCCUCGGCCUCCCAAAGUGCUGGGAUUACAGGUGUGAGCCAUAUUUUAUGCCUUUUAUCAGGGCAUCCUCUGUAGGUUUACAUGACAUAAAAUUGCCCAGAGGGCAACUGAAGAGCAUCACUCUACAAUUUGGGAGAGGUAAAGGGAAAAGAAUCAGAUGGGUAAGAUACAUAAAAGGUAUAUAGCUAUGAAGUUGUUCAAUACUCAGUACACACCGUGGUUAAACACAGAUGCAAAAGCCGGAUUGCAAGUUUGAAUCUUGGCUCCAUCACUGCACAUCCUUGGGCUGGUUCCUUAACCUCUCUCAGUCUCAUAUCCCAUAAAAAAAAAAAAAGAAUUAAAUUAGUCAAUAUAAAUGUAAAAGUUCUUACAACUAGCUGGCACAUAGAAAGCUGUUAGCAGGCAGGGCAUGGUGGCUCACAUCCAUAAUCCCAGCACUUUGGG
rnacentral:lncRNA from 1 species